UACGUAGGGAGCAAGCGUUGUCCGGAAUCAUUGGGCGUAAAGCGCGCGUAGGUGGCCAUGUAAGUCCGCUGUGAAAGUCAAAGGCUCAACCUUUGAAAGCCGGUGGAUACUGCAUGGCUAGAGUACGGAAGAGGCGAGUGGAAUUCCUGGUGUAGCGGUGGAAUGCGCAGAUAUCAGGAGGAACACCAAUAGCGAAGGCAGCUCGCUGGGACGUCACUGACACUGAGGCGCGAAAGCGUGGGGGGCGAACAGG
rnacentral:rRNA from 1 species